rnacentral:lncRNA from 13 species
CACGGAUCCUUCACUCCAUGGAUCCUCCAUCCUAUGGAUUCUGCAUCCCAUGGAUCUUUCACCCCAUGGAUCCUCCAUCCCAUGGAUUCUGCUUCUCAUGGAUCUUUCAUCCCAUGGAUUCUGCUUCUCAUGGAUCUUUCAUCCCAUGGAUCCUUCACCCCAUUGAUGCUUUGCCCCAGGAAUGCUUCAACCCAUGGAUCCUGCAUUCCAUGGAUCCAUAAUCCCAUGGAUUCUGCAUCCCAUGGAUUCUUCACCCCAUGGAUCCUUCACAUGGAUCUUCCAUCCCAUGGAUCCUUUACUCCAUGGAUCCUUCACCCCAUGGGCCCUGCAUUCCACGGAUCCCUCAUCCCAUGGAUCCUCCAUCCCAUGGGUGCUUCACAUGGAUCCUUCACCUAAUGGAUUCUUUACCCCAUGCAUCCUUCAUCCCAUGGAUCUUUCACCCCAUGGACCCUCCACCCCAUGGAUUCUGCAUCUCAUGGAUGCUUCACUCCAUGGAUCCUUCACCCCAUGGGCCCCAGUGGAGGUGCAGGAAGGCCCUCGGGAAUGGGGAAACGGAGGCAGGAGCAUUUGGGAUGGCUCUGGAUGCUGCAUCCCUGCCUCGGCUCAAGGGCCACCUUGACCUCGGGGACGUCGGUGCCUGUGAGGAGAAAACAAGGAUGCGAUGCCGAGCCAGAGCCUCCUCUUGGGAAAAUCCCACCUGGCAGCAAGGGAAGGGCAACUCUGAUCCCCUUCCCUCCAGUCUGGGAUGGCCCGGGGGGUUUGGGAUGCUCUGGGAAGCCGGGAAUGAGCAUUUCCAGGGGCCUGUGGGACCGGGGGAGACCCCAAAGGGGCUUUGGCCAUAAAAAUGAUGGAGGAAAUCCCAGCCCCGGGGGGGAUAAGGAGGCAUGGGAGGAAAAGUGGGGAGAGGAGGAAGAGAAGGAGGAGGAGGAGGAGAAAAGGAGAAGGAGAAGGAGAAGGAGAAAAGGAGAAGGAGGAGGAGAAAAGGAGAAGGAGAAGGAGAAGGAGAAAAGGAGAAGGAGAAGGAGAAAAGGAGAAGGAGAAGGAGAAAAGGAGAAGGAGAAGGAGAAGGAGAAGGAGAAGGAGAAGGAGAAGGAGGAGGAGAAAAGGAGAAGGAGAAGGAGAAAAGGAGAAGGAGAAGGAGAA